AAAGCGCUUUUAGUAAUAAAGCGCUGGUAUAAAGGGGCAUAUGAAAGCGCUUCUGAAAAGCGCUCUGGUAGCCCUUUUUAAAAUUUUCAUAAAAUUAAAACACGCUAUUUCAUUCAGAAACACAAAACAUCCGUACUCGUCUUCUUCUUCCUCUCGCUCACGCACACUCUCUGCUUCCUCGCUCUCACUCCCUCCGCCGUGGUCUCAGCCACUCCUCCGUCCCUCCGUCGUCGUCUCACUCUCACUCUCAAACCAACUAGCCGCCGCUGCCGCCGCCGCCGCUGCUACGCCGUUCUGUGGGAUUUUAGGGUUUUCUUGGUCAAAAUCAACAUCUUCUUGCUGCUUCUGUUCAGGGGAUAUUAAAGAUUUUCUAAAAGAAUAUCACUAGAGACAUCAAAUUAGCUUACGGUGUGUGGUUCCAGAAGUUUCUGAAUUUCUCUAAAGUUACUUUGAAGUCUCUGGUUUCUAUUUGUACAACGCCGAUUCAAACCUACCCAUCUCCCACAUAAAGUCUAACUCAGAAUUCCUUAGUACCUGAUAGAGAAACCAAGAAGUUUUUGUUUAGCUCAAUUAAGACAUGGAUAAGACAUGGAUGAAUUCAAACCGAUUGUCGAAAGAGUACGAGAAAGGGGUAUGGGAAUUCGUUGAGUUUGCGGUUGCGCACUCC